AUAUAAGAAUGGAGCUGGAGUUGUUGGGGGAAAUAGCAUCCAAGUCUAGGUGCUGACCAAAACAGAAUCUCAUAAGGGGACAAGGCAAACCUCCCUCGGGGUGUGUACCUUACACUAAACAGGGCAAUGGGAAGACUCUCUGGUCAGGACAGGUUAGUUUCUUGGGCCAUUUUUAGCAUUCUGGCUUUUAAGGUGCCAUUCAUGCACUCUACCUUGCCGCUACUCUGAGGGUGGUAGGGAGUGUGGAAUACAAGGGUCACCCCCAGUGAUGCCCAGAUU